GGAGAGGGGCGUCAUAGAGGGUGAGAAUCCCGUAUGCGACCGGCGACCACCCCCAUGUGAAACCCCUUCGACGAGCCGAGUUGUUUGGGAAUGCAGCUCAAAAGGGGUGGUAAAUUUCAUCUAAAGCUAAAUACCGGCCAGAGACCGAUAGCGCACAAGUAGAGUGAUCGAAAGAUGAAAAGCACUUUGGAAAGAGAGUCAAACAGUACGUGAAAUUGUUGAAAGGGAAGCGCUUGCAACCAGACCUGCCCUUGGGCGAUCAGCCGUUAUUCUUAGCGGUGCACUCGUCCCUGUUCAGGCCAGCAUCGGUUCGGGCGGCCGGAUAAAGGCCCCGGGAAUGUAGCUCCCCUCGGGGAGUCUUAUAGCCCGGGGUGCAAUGCGGCCAGCCCGGACCGAGGACCGCGCUUCGGCUAGGAUGCUGGCGUAAUGGUUGUAAGCGACCCGUCUUGAAACACGGACCAAGGAGUCUAACAUCUAUGCGAGUGUUUGGGCGUCAAACCCACGCGCGGAAUGAAAGUGAACGGAGGUGGGAGCCCGCAAGGGCGCACCAUCGACCGAUCCAGAUGUCUUCGGAUGGAUUUGAGUACGAGCAUAGCUGUUGGGACCCGAAAGAUGGUGAACUAUGCCUGAAUAGGGUGAAGCCAGAGGAAACUCUGGUGGAGGCUCGCAGCGGUUCUGACGUGCAAAUCGAUCGUCAAAUUUGGGUAUAGGGGCGAAAGACUAAUCGAACCAUCUAGUAGCUGGUUCCUGCCGAAGUUUCCCUCAGGAUAGCAGUAACGUUUGUCAGUUUUAUGAGGUAGAAGCGAAUGAUUAGAGGCCGUUGGGGUUGAAACAACCUUAAC
rnacentral:rRNA from 1 species